CCUACGGGUGGCAGCAGUGGGGAAUAUUGGGCAAUGGAGGAAACUCUGACCCAGCAAUGCCGCGUGAGUGAAGAAGGGUUUCGGCUCGUAAAGCUCUGUUGGUAGUGAAGAAAGAUAGAGGUAGUAACUGGCCUUUAUUUGACGGUAAUUACUUAGAAAGUCACGGCUAACUACGUGCCAGCAGCCGCGGUAAUACGUAGGUGGCAAGCGUUGUCCGGAUUUAUUGGGCGUAAGGCGAGUGCAGGCGGUUCAAUAAGUCUGAUGUGAAAGCCUUCGGCUCAACCGGAGAAUUGCAUCAGAAACUGUUGAACUUGAGUGCAGAAGAGGAGAGUGGAACUCCAUGUGUAGCGGUGGAAUGCGUAGAUAUAUGGAAGAACACCAGUGGCGAAGGCGGCUCUCUGGUCUGCAACUGACGCUGAGGCUCGAAAGCAUGGGUAGCGAACAGGAUUAGAUACCCUUGUAGUC
rnacentral:rRNA from 1 species